rnacentral:rRNA from 1 species
CUACGGGAGGCAGCAGUGGGGAAUUUUGGACAAUGGGGGAAACCCUGAUCCAGCCAUCCCGCGUGAGUGAAGAAGGCCUUCGGGUUGUAAAGCUCUUUCGAAAGUGAAGAAAACUUAUUUCGUAAUAUGUUAUAAGUAUGACGGUAACUUUAGAAGAAGCACCGGCUAACUACGUGCCAGCAGCCGCGGUAAUACGUAGGGUGCGAGCGUUAAUCGGAAUUACUGGGCGUAAAGCGUGCGCAGGCGGUUUUGUAAGUCAGAUGUGAAAUCCCCGAGCUUAACUUGGGAACUGCGUUUGAAACUACAAGACUAGAGUGUGUCAGAGGGGGGUAGAAUUCCACGUGUAGCAGUGAAAUGCGCAGAGAUGUGGAGGAAUACCAAUGGCGAAGGCAGCCCCCUGGGAUAACACUGACGCUCAUGCACGAAAGCGUGGGGAGCGAACAGGAUUAGAUACCCUGGUAGUCCACGCCCUAAACGAUGUCAACUAGUUGUUGGUGGAGUAAGAUCCAUGAGUAACGUAGCUAACGCGUGAAGUUGACCGCCUGGGGAGUACGGUCGCAAGAUUAAAACUCAAAG